GAUGAACGCUGGCGGCGUGCCUAAUACAUGCAAGUCGAGCGAAUGGAUUAAGAGCUUGCUCUUAUGAAGUUAGCGGCGGACGGGUGAGUAACACGUGGGUAACCUGCCCAUAAGACUGGGAUAACUCCGGGAAACCGGGGCUAAUACCGGAUAACAUUUUGAACCGCAUGGUUCGAAAUUGAAAGGCGGCUUCGGCUGUCACUUAUGUAUGGACCCGCGUCGCAUUAGCUAGUUGGUGAGGUAACGGCUCACCAAGGCAACGAUGCGUAGCCGACCGGAGAGGGUGCUCGGCCACACUGGGACUGAGACGCGGCCCAGACUCCAACGGGAGGCAGCAGUAGGGAAUAUUCCGCAAUGGACGAAAGUCUGACGGAGCAACGCCGCGUGAGUGAUGAAGGCUUUCGGGUCGUAAAACUCUGUUGUUAGGGAAGAACAAGUGCUAGUUGAAUAAGCUGGCACCUUGACGGUACCUAACCAGAAAGCCACGGCUAACUACGUGCCAGCCGCCGCCGUAA
rnacentral:rRNA from 1 species